UACAGAGGGCUCAAGCGUUGUUCGGAUUCAUUGGGCGUAAAGAGCGUGUAGGCGGCCAGGUAGGUCGGUUGUGAAAACUGGAGGCUCAACCUUCAGAGGUCGACCGAAACCAUCUGGCUAGAGUCCGGGAGAGGAGAGUGGAAUUCCUGGUGUAGCGGUGAAAUGCGCAGAUAUCAGGAGGAACACCGGUGGCGAAGGCGGGUCUCUGGGCCGAUACUGACGCUGAGGAGCGAAAGCGUGGGGAGCGAACAGG
rnacentral:rRNA from 1 species